rnacentral:rRNA from 1 species
UAGUCCACGCCGUAAGCGAUGAGUGCUAAAAGUGGGUUGUUUUAUAUCUGCUUUGUAGCUAACGCGUUAAGCACUCCGCCUGGGGACUACGGUCGCAAGACUAAAACUCAAAGGAAUUGACGGGGAUCCGCACAAGCGGUGGAGUAUGUGGUUUAAUUCGAUGCAACGCGAAGAACCUUACCACACCUUGACAUGCAAAUUAUACCUCUCCGAAAGGAGAGGGUCAGUUCGGCUGGAUUUGACACAGGUGUUGCAUGGCUGUCGUCAGCUCGUGCCGUGAGGUGUUGGGUUAAGUCCCGCAACGAGCGCAACCCCCAUCCUUAGUUGCCAGCGGUUCGGCCGGGAACUUUAAGGAAACUGCCAGUGACAAACUGGAGGAAGGUGGGGAUGACGUCAAGUCAUCAUGGCCCAUAUGGUGUGGGCUACACACGUACUACAAUGGUGGUCACAACGAGUUUAGCUAUGUCGCAAGGCGGUGCAAAUCUCUUAAAAGCACCCCAGUACAGAUUGCCCU